UCGUUAUGGUGAUGAUGAAUCAAUUAGAUGUAUGAAAUGUGUCUUCUUGUUUCAUUAAUGAACAAAAAAUCAUCGAGGCAUUUACUAAGAUUCUGAACUAUUCUUA
rnacentral:snoRNA from 1 species